UCUAUGUGCUGUCCGUUUGUGCCCCCCCAUCCCCGUGGCUGCCCCCCUGUCCGGCCCGGUGACAAAUCAAUACAUAAUUAAAUAAUAAAACAGACAAAGGAGUAUAUUAAUACUCUCUUGUUAAAGUCAUUUUGACAAAUCUAUGUGUUUUAAAAGUCAUGUUAAAUCUGUGGUUCGUUCCUGUUUUUUCCAUCUCAUUGCUAAGAGUAGAUCUGUGGUUUCUAAAGUAGAGAUGGAAAUGCUUGUUAACAUUGUCAUAUUAUUCAGGGUCUUGUCUCCUCUGGUGUUACAGGUAACGUACUGUUUGAAGUUGCUCAGUGUCCUUGAGAUUUUGGCGUGGUUAAAAUCUCCGUUAAUGAUAAGGAGAGUGUUUGGACACUUUAAUUUAAGGUGCUUGUAAGUAGUAAUAAACAGUUAAUAAGCAGUAAUUAAAAAUAAAAUAAAAUAAAACACUUAAAAUGCUUAUAAACACAAAUAAGUCCAUAUAUGUGUUAAGUAAAGCACAAUUAACUCUUUCAUAAUUUUCUUAUAAGACACUUAUAGACUGCUAUUAGAAACGUGUCGAUGGUUUAUAUACCUGUUAAUAAACAUUAAUAAGAUGUUUAUUAACAUUAAUGACUUUAUAAGGGUUGUUUAAUAAGAAAUUAAGAGAUUUGUUAUUUCCUUGAAAGACACUUUUUGUUAACUUAAAAAAAAUCUUAUUGUUUAAAGGCAGCUUAUAAAAUGCAUUUUUAUUAAGAUUGAUGUAUGAAUGAACACAUUUAUUAUUUAGCACACUUAUGAGCACUUACUAGAAAGUAAAAGUAAGUAAGUGAAAGUUGUUUAUUAAAAUUAAUGACUGUUAAUAAUAUCCCAAAACACAUUUAUUAUUGGCUUGUAAGAUAUUUAUGAGCUCCACCCAAACAGAAAUUUGGCCUAGAGUUGAGUCAGAGUAGGGAUCCCUCUUUAUUAAAACUUUGUUAAGACUGCACCAAAUUCCAAGUAGGAGUAAAUGUUAUGUAAUUAAAUCUGUGAUAUUAACAAUAAAAUGUUAAUAUGUUGAAAUGUUAAAAUGUUAAUACAGAAUAUGUUUAGAAUAUAUCUAGUUUAGAAUUAAUAUGCCUUUGUUAAACAUAUGACAUUGUGCACUUGUGCAUUUUUUUUUCUUUACAAAAUGCAUGAAGUACAGCCAAUCUUCACACACACACACACACACACACACACACACACACACACACACACACACACACACACACACACACACACACACACACACACACACACACACACCUAUAUACUCAGUAGCGGGAGGAGCCCCGGAGGAGCCUCAAUGAGUCCAACUUCCCUUCCAGUUCUGUUGGUCAGGAAACCCAUUGCAGUUCAAAGGAGGAACAUGCGGAUCAGGUUUAAGUCUCUUUCUCAGAUCAAUGAAGAAUUCCGGAGGAUCAGACUGAAGCCACUUCAGUCCACAUUCCCUGGGAAGUUGGACAAACACAGGUAGUUUGGAAGGGAGGAGCUGCUGGGAAGAAAUUUGACCCUGGACAUCAUAAACGAGACAUCUGUACUUAUAUGUGAUGACAACGAUGCUUCAGCCAUCCAAGAAGUCCUCCCUUCAUUUAUACUCAACAUCUUUGUGGACAAGAAAAAUCAGGGACGGGGUCUUAAGGAGCAAGCUGGAAUAGCCCAUCGUGGCAGCAGCGGCCCUUUUUGGGAUUCCCAUUGUAGCACAGGCUUGCACCUACCUAAUGGGCUACCUUAUGGCUUUAGAACUAAACUAUCCAAAGAAACUGAAAUACACCUUUUAAGGUUUUUCAGAAGAUCUUCCUGGAGCUGCAGGAUGGGAACCAAAAAUGUUCCCCAAAGUCCACGAUGUCAAGGUCAGCUUGCUGGCCUGAAAGCCAUACGGACAUUGUUGAAGGUGGAGGAUUGAAAAACAAUUCUGUACAAUGUAAUUUUUUUUUUAUUGAAAAAAUCUAUUAUACAAAAUGUUUUCAGUUAAUGUUAAAGAAAACAUACUUGUAAUUGCACUUUUUUUUUCAAACUUGUGUUUGGCCUGGGUUUAAUAUAAUGUAAUUUUUGUUGCUGCGUUUAGAUGAAAGUUAUGAAACAUGAAAGUUAUGAAAUGUAAAAAAAAUAACAUUUCCACAACAGAUGUCUUAGAGUAUGAUUUUGUUUCACAACUACACUAUUUAAAAUAUUCUGUUAUAUUUUCUUUUUUAUUUAUUAUACUUUUCUUCUAUUAUUAGUUAUUUUUAUUAGCAUUUACUCAUCUUAAUAAGAUCACUGUUCCCAUUUUAGUUCAGGUAGCUGACAAGGAGGAUUUUUAAUGAUUAAUAAGUGCAUAAUAAAGGAUUCCAUCCAUCCA